GGGCCCGCACAAGCGGCGGAGCAUGCGGAUUAAUUCGAUGCAACGCGAAGAACCUUACCAAGGCUUGACAUACACGAGAACGGGCCAGAAAUGGUCAACUCUUUGGACACUCGUGAACAGGUGGUGCAUGGUUGUCGUCAGCUCGUGUCGUGAGAUGUUGGGUUAAGUCCCGCAACGAGCGCAACCCUCGUCGCAUGUUGCCAGCACGUUAUGGUGGGGACUCAUGUGAGACUGCCGGGGUCAACUCGGAGGAAGGUGGGGAUGACGUCAAAUCAUCAUGCCCCUUAUGUCUUGGGCUUCACGCAUGCUACAAGGGUGCCGGUACAAAGGGCUGCGAUGUCGUAAGGCGGAGCGAAUCCCAAAAAGCCGGUCUCAGUUCGGAUUGAGGUCUGCAACUCGACCUCAUGAAGUCGGAGUCGCUAGUAAUCGCAGAUCAGCAACGCUG
rnacentral:rRNA from 1 species